rnacentral:rRNA from 1 species
ACGGAAGGCAGCAGUGGGGAAUAUUGGACAAUGGGGGAAACCCUGAUCCAGCGACGCCGCGUGAGUGAAGAAGUAUUUCGGUAUGUAAAGCUCUAUCAGCAAGGAAGAAAAUGACGGUACUUGACUAAGAAGCCCCGGCUAACUACGUGCCAGCAGCCGCGGUAAUACGUAGGGGGCAAGCGUUAUCCGGAUUUACUGGGUGUAAAGGGAGCGUAGACGGCAUAGCAAGUCUGAAGUGAAAUGCAUGGGCUCAACCCAUGAACUGCUUUGGAAACUGUUAAGCUAGAGUGCAGGAGAGGUAAGUGGAAUUCCUAGUGUAGCGGUGAAAUGCGUAGAUAUUAGGAGGAACACCAGUGGCGAAGGCGGCUUACUGGACAGCAACUGACGUUGAGGCUCGAAAGCGUGGGGAGCAAACAGGAUUAGAUACCCUGGUA